rnacentral:lncRNA from 1 species
UGCGAUUAUUCUGGGAGGAGUAAAAUCACAAUACUCAUUAGCAAGAACCCAUAAUACCGAUUCCUACCCGCACUAGUCUCAGAAAAGAGCAGUAACUUUUCUCAGUAUUUGUAGUUCUCAACAUAGAGGCUCUCUUUGGCACCAUCAUCAAGUUGCGAACUACCCUUGUAGGUUCCAAGAGUUGCCUCUGAGUUAGCCUUGGCUCUUACCAAUAAGGCUUCUUGAGCCUUCUUCACAUUCUCCUCUUUUCCACCCCAUGCCUUAAGAGUGCUCUGUUGAAGUGCCCUUCCAAAAGAGAAAGAGAGUGACCAUGGCUUCUUCCCAUUAACCUGGUUAAUGGCAUUGAGGUUGAGGGAUGCCUCUUCCUCACUCUGCCCACCAGACAAGAAAACCACGGC